CGAGAGAGAGCUUGCUUUCUCGAGCGAGUGGCGAACGGGUGAGUAACGCGUGAGGAACCUGCCUCAAAGAGGGGGACAACAGUUGGAAACGACUGCUAAUACCGCAUAAGCCCACAGGUCGGCAUCGACCAGGGGGAAAAGGAGCAAUCCGCUUUGAGAUGGCCUCGCGUCCGAUUAGCUAGUUGGUGAGGUAAUGGCCCACCAAGGCAACGAUCGGUAGCCGGACUGAGAGGUUGAACGGCCACAUUGGGACUGAGACACGGCCCAGACUCCUACGGGAGGCAGCAGUGGGGAAUAUUGCACAAUGGGGGAAACCCUGAUGCAGCGACGCCGCGUGGAGGAAGAAGGUCUUCGGAUUGUAAACUCCUGUUGUUGAGGAAGAUAAUGACGGUACUCAACAAGGAAGUGACGGCUAACUACGUGCCAGCAGCCGCGGUAAAACGUAGGUCACAAGCGUUGUCCGGAAUUACUGGGUGUAAAGGGAGCGCAGGCGGGAAGACAAGUUGGAAGUGAAAUCUAUGGGCUCAACCCAUAAACUGCUUUCAAAACUGUUUUUCUUGAGUAGUGCAGAGGUAGGCGGAAUUCCCGGUGUAGCGGUGGAAUGCGUAGAUAUCGGGAGGAACACCAGUGGCGAAGGCGG
rnacentral:rRNA from 1 species